UACGGAGGGUGCGAGCGUUAAUCGGAAUUACUGGGCGUAAAGCGCACGUAGGCGGUUGGGUAAGUCGGAUGUGAAAGCCCUGGGCUUAACCUGGGAACUGCAUUCGAUACUGCCCGGCUAGAGUAUGGGAGAGGGAAGCGGAAUUUCCGGUGUAGCGGUGAAAUGCGUAGAUAUCGGAAGGAACACCAAUGGCGAAGGCAGCUUCCUGGCCCAAUACUGACGCUCAGGUGCGAAAGCGUGGGGAUCAAACAGG
rnacentral:rRNA from 2 species